rnacentral:rRNA from 1 species
UACGGAGGGGGCUAGCGUUGUUCGGAAUUACUGGGCGUAAAGGGCGCGUAGGCGGCCCGCCAAGUCCGGCGUGAAAGUCCUGGGCUCAACCCGGGGACGGCGCUGGAGACUGGCGGGCUGGAGUCCGGGAGAGGGUGGCGGAAUUCCCAGUGUAGAGGUGAAAUUCGUAGAUAUUGGGAAGAACACCGGUGGCGAAGGCGGCCACCUGGCCCGGGACUGACGCUGAGGCGCGAAAGCGUGGGGAGCAAACAGG